AGAGUUUGAUCCUGGCUCAGGAUGAACGCUGGCGGCGUGCCUAACACAUGCAAGUCGAACGAAGCUUGACGGAUGAUUUCUUCGGAAUGAAACCAGAUAUGACUUAGUGGCGGACGGGUGAGUAACACGUGAGCAACCUGCCUUUCAGAGGGGGAUAACGGCUGGAAACGGUCGCUAAUACCGCAUGAUGUGUUCGGAUGGCAUCAUCUGAACAUCAAAGAUUUAUCGCUGAAAGAUGGGCUCGCGUCUGAUUAGAUAGUUGGUGGGGUAACGGCCUACCAAGUCGACGAUCAGUAGCCGGACUGAGAGGUUGAACGGCCACAUUGGGACUGAGAUACGGCCCAGACUCCUACGGGAGGCAGCAGUGGGGAAUAUUGCACAAUGGGGGAAACCCUGAUGCAGCAACGCCGCGUGAAGGAUGACGGUUUUCGGAUUGUAAACUUCUUUUCUUAGUGAUGAAGACAGUGACGGUAGCUAAGGAAUAAGCAUCGGCUAACUACGUGCCAGCAGCCGCGGUAAUACGUAGGAUGCAAGCGUUAUCCGGAUUUACUGGGUGUAAAGGGAGCGCAGGCGGGACUGCAAGUUGGAUGUGAAAUACCGUGGCUUAACCACGGAACUGCAUCCAAAACUGUAGUUCUUGAGUGAAGUAGAGGCAAGCGGAAUUCCGAGUGUAGCGGUGAAAUGCGUAGAUAUUCGGAGGAACACCAGUGGCGAAGGCGGCUUGCUGGGCUUUAACUGACGCUGAGGCUCGAAAGUGUGGGGAGCAAACAGGAUUAGAUACCCUGGUAGUCCACACUGUAAACGAUGAUAGCUAGGUGUGGGGGGUCUGACCCCUUCCGUGCCGGAGUUAACGCAAUAAGCUAUCCACCUGGGGAGUACGACCGCAAGGUUGAAACUCAAAGGAAUUGACGGG
rnacentral:rRNA from 1 species